rnacentral:rRNA from 1 species
UUGAUCAUGGCUCAGAUUGAACGCUGGCGGCAGGCCUAACACAUGCAAGUCGAACGGUAACAGGAAGCAGCUUGCUGCUUUGCUGACGAGUGGCGGACGGGUGAGUAAUGUCUGGGAAACUGCCUGAUGGAGGGGGAUAACUACUGGAAACGGUGGCUAAUACCGCAUAACGUCGCAAGACCAAAGAGGGGGACCUUCGGGCCUCUUGCCAUCAGAUGUGCCCAGAUGGGAUUAGCUUGUUGGUGAGGUAACGGCUCACCAAGGCGACGAUCCCUAGCUGGUCUGAGAGGAUGACCAGCCACACUGGAACUGAGACACGGUCCAGACUCCUACGGGAGGCAGCAGUGGGGAAUAUUGCACAAUGGGCGCAAGCCUGAUGCAGCCAUGCCGCGUGUAUGAAGAAGGCCUUCGGGUUGUAAAGUACUUUCAGCGGGGAGGAAGGUGUUGUGGUUAAUAACCGCAGCAAUUGACGUUACCCGCAGAAGAAGCACCGGCUAACUCCGUGCCAGCAGCCGCGGUAAUACGGAGGGUGCAAGCGUUAAUCGGAAUUACUGGGCGUAAAGCGCACGCAGGCGGUCUGUCAAGUCGGAUGUGAAAUCCCCGGGCUCAACCUGGGAACUGCAUUCGAAACUGGCAGGCUUGAGUCUUGUAGAGGGGGGUAGAAUUCCAGGUGUAGCGGUGAAAUGCGUAGAGAUCUGGAGGAAUACCGGUGGCGAAGGCGGCCCCCUGGACAAAGACUGACGCUCAGGUGCGAAAGCGUGGGGAGCAAACAGGAUUAGAUACCCUGGUAGUCCACGCCGUAAACGAUGUCUACUUGGAGGCUGUGCCCUUGAGGCGUGGCUUCCGGAGCUAACGCGUUAAGUAGACCGCCUGGGGAGUACGGCCGCAAGGUUAAAACUCAAAUGAAUUGACGGGGGCCCGCACAAGCGGUGGAGCAUGUGGUUUAAUUCGAUGCAACGCGAAGAACCUUACCUGGUCUUGACAUCCACAGAAGUUUGCAGAGAUGCGAAUGUGCCUUCGGGAACUGUGAGACAGGUGCUGCAUGGCUGUCGUCAGCUCGUGUUGUGAAAUGUUGGGUUAAGUCCCGCAACGAGCGCAAC